AUUGAACGCUGGCGGCAUGCCUCACACAUGCAAGUCGAACGGUAACGCGGGGCAACCUGGCGACGAGUGGCGAACGGGUGAGUAAUGCAUCGGAACGUGCCCAGUUGUGGGGGAUAACUGCUCGAAAGAGCAGCUAAUACCGCAUACGACCUGAGGGUGAAAGCGGGGGAUCGCAAGACCUCGCGCAAUUGGAGCGGCCGAUGUCGGAUUAGCUAGUUGGUGGGGUAAAGGCCCACCAAGGCGACGAUCCGUAGCUGGUCUGAGAGGACGACCAGCCACACUGGGACUGAGACACGGCCCAGACUCCUACGGGAGGCAGCAGUGGGGAAUUUUGGACAAUGGACGCAAGUCUGAUCCAGCCAUGCCGCGUGCGGGAAGAAGGCCUUCGGGUUGUAAACCGCUUUUGUCAGGGAAGAAAUCUUCUGGGUUAAUACCUCGGGAGGAUGACGGUACCUGAAGAAUAAGCACCGGCUAACUACGUGCCAGCCGCCGCGGUAAGAC
rnacentral:rRNA from 1 species